GCCCGAGUGGCUCAGUCGGUUGAGUGUCUGACUUCGGCUCAGGUCAUGAUCUCACGGUUCGUGGGUUUGAGCCCCGUGUCGGGCU
rnacentral:tRNA from 1 species